rnacentral:lncRNA from 1 species
UAGUUCCAUGCUGUUUUUAACCAUUGUGAGAUUUGGUAUUCUGAUUCUAACGUGCACAGUAGAAGCAGCAUUGAAGAGAUACCCCAUCAUGGAGUACCACUGCUUCAGCUACUUCUUCCUCUUCUAAGGGUGGUGGCUCUUUUGAAAUGAUUGUUUUUAUCUGAAGUGAUUUUUUUACUCCACAUGAAUUCACUUGUAUAUAUGUAUAUGAAAGGCAAUGUUCGUAUAUAGAUGAGAUUUUAGGAAAGAAAGAGCAAACUAUAUCUGCUUUUUUAAUUGAACAUGAAUGCUUCGGUUCUCAAUUGGAAGAUCUUGAACAUGUAUCUAAAUUGUUUAUGGAUAAGGAUGCAAAGAAGUGUUGAUCUCAUGCUUGGGACUAGAUAAGUGAUCAAGGGAUCUAAGGAUCGUUAAUUCGUUAUGGAAUAAUCAUUUAAUUGAAGAGAAUGAUUUUGCUGUGAAUAAUCAAAGGAUUUUGCAUCUUGAGUUUCAUGUGAGUACCCGUUCAACUCAAAUCUAUUGGGAAAGUGAAGGAAAAAGUUUGAACUAAGGUAGCUGGGUAACACCUAUGACAUCUACCCCUUCUCUAUCUGAAUUUUAACUUCUUAAAUAUAAAUAAUAAUAAAAAAUUAUCCUAAUGUAAAAAUAUUUUUUAAAAACUAAAAAAUUUCCUAAAAACUAAUUUAAAUAAAAGGAUAUUAUCAUCUUCUUAUAUAAAAAUAUCUAUAUGACAAUGAUUUAUGAUUCAGCUAUCCAUCUAAGCAAAUAGGGUGUGCCACCCCAACCCACUGUAUUUAUGAUGCAGCUACUACUGAACUACAUAUCAUAGAUAUUUCUAUGAGUAAUUUAAGAAACAUUUUUCUUAUAUAAAAAUAUAUCUACAUCAAAAUAAAAAUAUGAUAUUAUAGUGAUUAUCAUAUUCCUAUUUUCUUUUUUCAUAUUAUCAGAACCACUCUUCAACUACAUUUAAUGGCUAUACCUACCUUGUAUCAAGUGAAGAGAUGAAACUAUUCAAACUACACCAAGUUCUCCUUGCAUUCCCACCUAUCUCCCAAAACACACAUCAUGGCCGAAUCACUUAUUUUCAGCUUCGCAGAAUCACUCAUAGGGAAGAUUGCUUCUCGUGCAGUUGAAGAAGCUUCCUUGGCGGUUGGUGUGCAUAGCGAGCUACAACAGAUGAAAGCAACUAUGGCACUCAUCAGAGGUGUGCUCUUAGAUGCUCAGCAAAAGAAUCCGCUGAGCAGUGCAUUGACCGAAUGGCUGAGACAGGUGAAGCACGUGUUUUCUGAUGCUGAAGACAUAGUUGAUGAUUUUCAAUGCGAAGCCUUGAGGAAGCACGUUGUCAACACCUAUGGUAGCUGCUCAAGGAAGGUACGUCGUUUCUUCUCAACAAGUAGUCCUCUUGUUUAUCGUCUUAGAAUGGCGCAUCGCAUUCAAGAUAUCAACACCAUGUUGGCCAAACUUGGAGAUCAAAGAAGCAUGUUUGGCCUUCAAAUCAUUGACCAAGAUACACAUGUCGUGCACGUGAGGGAAACGACUCAUUCUUAUGUAAACCCUUCCAAUGUUACAGGAAGGGAACAUGACAAAAAUGAAAUAGUAAAACUUUUGGUGCAAGAUGGUCAUCACCAAAGUCUUUCUGUUAUUCCCAUUGUGGGAAUGGGAGGCUUGGGAAAAACCACACUUGCUAAGUUGGUCUUCAAUGACACCAACAUUGAUGCAUGUUUUCCCUUGAAGAUGUGGGUGUGUGUCUCUAAUGAUUUUGAACUUAGGAAUGUGCUCAUUAAAAUCCUCAGUUCUGCUAUAAACCCAACUAGGGAAAACUUCAAUAACUUUGAGACAGAGCAACUUCAAAAUCGUUUGAGAAAUACAAUUCAAGGUCAGAAGUUCUUGCUUGUGUUGGAUGACGUGUGGAACGAGGAUGGUGCAAGAUGGGAUGAGUUGAAGGAAAUAAUAGAUGUAGGUGUUGAAGGGUGUAAGAUCUUAGUGACCACUCGUAGCCACUUGACAGCUACCAUGAUGUGCACCAAAUCCUCCAACUCUUACCUUCUGGAACGCCUUUCUGAAGAGGAUUCCUUCUCUCUGUUUGUGAAAACGGCUUUUAAAGAAGGGAAAGAGAAAAGCUUUCCACAGUUGUUGGAGAUUGGGAAAGAAAUUGUGAACAAGUGUGGAGGAAUACCGUUGGCAGUGAAAACUUUAGCAAGUUCACUAUUCUCUGUGGUUGAUAAAACCAAGUGGGAGUCUAUGAGGGACGACAAGAUUUGGAAUUUGCCACAAAAAGAAAGAGACAUUUUGCCUGCUCUUGAAAUAAGUUACAAUCAACUUCCUUCACAUUUGAAACCUUGUUUUGUUUGCUUCUCCCUUUUUUCUGAGGGUUCUGAAUUCUUUAGUUUUUAUGUUACUAAGUUGUGGGAGGCACUUGGUUUUCUUCCACCACCAAAUGAAAAUGAGACAAUGGAUGAUGUUGCCAUUCAAUUUUUGCAUGAGCUGUGGUCAAGAUCUUUUCUCACAGAUUUCACUGAAUUGAGCCAUGGUUACAGUUUUAAAUUACAUGAUCUAGUUCAUGAUCUUGCUAUGUAUGCUGCCAAAGGUGAGUUUCAAACAAUAUACCCUCGCAGUUCAAUAAUAUCUCCCAAUGCUCGACAUUUGGCAUUCAGUGAGAAUAACUUGCUAGACCAAGCUGUCAUUCCCACAGGUCUGAGAACUAUAAUUUUUCCUGAUGAAGCUUCCAAUGAAGUUUUCAUGAAUACAUUGGUGUCAAGGUGCAAAUACUUGAGAUUUUUGGAAUUAAGUAACUCUAAAUUAGAGAGUUUACCUCCCUCCCUUGGAAAGUUGAAACAUUUAAGAUAUCUCUGUCUCUUUGGGAAUAAAAAGCUCAAGGGACUCCCUUCCUCAGUAUGCAACCUGCAAAAUUUGGAAACUUUGAACCUUAAUGGAUGCACAGAGCUACAAGAAUUGCCCAAAGGAAUGAGAAAACUUAUCAGCCUACGUCGCCUACACAUAACCACAAAGCAACUUCAUUUUCCGGACAAAGAAAUAGCAAAUUUGACUUCUUUAGAGACUUUGACAUUCAAUUCUUGUGAUAAUUUGGAGUCACUGUUUGAAGGGAUACAACUUUCUACUCUUAAAAAUUUGUCUUUGCAUCACUGCGGGAAUCUAAAGUCUUUGUCCUUUCAUGUCAUAACAAAUUUGGAGAAUUUGGUUAUCGAGAGUUGUUGUGAGUUGGAAUUGUCAAUGGACUUUGGCAACCAAAUCCCUGAUUUAAGGUUAAAGUCUCUUGGUCUUAAAAGUUUGCAACAGUUGGUCAGUUUGCCUCAAUGGUUGCAAGGAUCUGUGAACACACUACAUUCCUUGGUGAUUGCUGACUGCAACAAUCUUAAGGAGCUUCCUGAAUGGCUGUCAUCUAUGAUUUGUCUCAAACUGCUUGUAAUUGAGUACUGUCCAUACCUGCAGUCACUCCCUGAUAACCUCACAAAUCUUGAAAAUCUAGUGAUUAACAACUGUCCUGAAUUAUGCAGAAGAUACCAGCCGGGGGUUGGACAGGAUUGCCACAAAAUAUCUCACAUCAAACAAGUUUUUGUUGGUGAAUUGGAAGAGUGAUGACAAAUCUUUGAUAGCAGAAAGUUUAAGGUAUUGAAUUUUGUUUCUUUGGUUUCCAUAGCAGAUUGUUGUUUUAGACCACCUUUUUGCUAUUUUGGAAAGAAGGGAUUUUCAUUUUUACAUAGUAAGUUAUUUCAUCAACAACUUACGUAGCAAAGACACGGAUACGACAUUGACACGGAUACGACAUAGAUACAAAUACAGAGAUACAUAUAAUAUCUAUAUAUUGGACAUGGGAACACAGAUACGUAUAAUCUCUAAAUGUAGGACAUGAGACACGAAUCUAUAUAUUAUACAAUUAUGAAUAUAAAUUGACAAUAAAAUAUUUAUGUGCACAAAUAUGUUUCAGAUUUUUUUUAGCAGGAAAAUAUUGUUCAUGGCUAGUUCAAAAGAAUUUGUUCCUUACUUUUACAAUCAUAAUAAAAAAAUUUACAAUAAAUUUGAGUUUUUAGAAAAUUAGUGUAUUUCUCCUUUUUAAAAUUGUGUUAGAACCAUGCUAGAAUUGUCAGAAAUCUAACAAAUAUUUUUUAAAUUGAAUACUUCACCGAUACAUAUCCUACGAGUGUCGGUUUCCGAUACAUAUAUCCGACACGAACAUGUUAUUUAAGAGAAGUAUUCAAGCCAGCAAAAUCCUUAAUAGAUAUUUGAGUUUGUUAAGGAUGUUGACUAAAUUGUUUCUCUCAAUUCCUAUAAUCCAUCACUUUCUUGGAAAAAAAGAGAUACCCUUUAAGGAAUUUUAUGAACUUUGGUUUGCAGGAGUGAUACUGGAUCAGAACCUUGGAGUUUUCUUAAGGAAUGUAUAAAACAUUGUACAUUGGAGCAGUUAUCUUGGAGUUAUUUUUCUGUUAAAAGAUCAAUUUGAAGGUAUGAGAAUUAGUUGUUAUUGGUAGUUGUAUUUGUAACUGUUGUGUUUGUAAAUUUUCAUACUAUGAAAAAUAAAAGAAUUCUGAGAGCAUUUUCUACUUUUUCUUUUCUUUCAAAUUCAAGUACAGGAAUCAAACUAUAAACUUGACUCCUACAUCCAGCAAAUAUGAAAAAGUUAAAUUAUAUAUAAAAAAAAGUCAUAGACUUAUUAUCUUAAAAUUUCUAAAUUAAAGAUUUUGUUUGAUAACUUAUAGGUACUGAUUUUUUCUUGUAUAAAAAAAUAUAUAUUUAUAUAUAUAUAUAUAAUGUAAUAUAUUACAAUAUCUAUAGUGUAUAUUAAAUACAUAACAAUACAUAUUAUUUUAUAUAUAAUAUUAGUAAAAAUUGACUUUAGUUACAUGAAGAAAAAAAAAGUUUCUUUAGUUUUCAUCUAUGAAAAAGUUGAAAUUUUGCUUCCACCAACAUAUUGCCAAAGGUCAUAUUUUUAAAGAUACCAAUACUUCAGUGUUAUUUGUCUUUCACACAAGUUCAAUGAUGGUCAACGACAAUCCUAACAAUGAAUCACAUUUAUCUCUAUUAUAUCUAAGAAGAAUAAACACUAAAUAAGAUUUUAUCUUCUUCUUACUCAAAUAUUGUUUCUUCCAUCACCUUACUGCCCCAACUUAGGUCACAAGCCACUAUUCCUAGUUCAACAACAAUUAGUGUUUAUCAUUACUUUAUAUAUCCUAAAUAAUUACAUUAUCCGUCAGAUGUGGGUUUUAAAGUCAUGUGUGUUCUUGGCUAAAGAUUGCAAAUAAAAGCCUUAAUUUAAAAUAUUUCAAAAUUAUGAGAAUUAAAUAUUAAUAAUUAUAACUAAAACUAAAAUUACACAUAAAUUAAUAUACGUACAUCAAAAGUUAAAACAAAAUACACAAGGUUUUUUGAAGUAUGAUUUUGUAAUAAAAAAAAGUAUGAAUUAUAUAAACCAACUACCAUCAAUCAUAAGAAAUAUGCAAAUAUUGUUGAAGUGUUUUAUUAAGGUUCUACUUUGGAGGAAUUUAACAAAGGUUAAAAAAUUCUAUUAUUUUUGUUGAGAUUUUAGAAUAAACCUUUUGAAACUUAUCAAAAGUUAAAAUGAUCCCGUUAAUUUGUUAACGUUUUAGUAAUUUAACGAAUGUUAAAAAAGCCUAUGUUAUUUUGCUUAGAUUUUAAAAUAAAUAUUAUGAGUUAUUUUGCUAAGGUUUUAAAAUAAGUCUUUCAAAUUUAACAAAGGUUAAAAAAACUUAUGUUAUUUUACUAAAGUCUUAAAAUAACCUUUGGAACUUAAACAAAGAUUAAAUAAGUCUGUUAAUUAAAUUAAUUAUUAAAUUAUAUUAACCUCCGUUAAAUAAUUUUUGUUAAUUUUCUUUUUCUUGUAUUAGAAUUAAUAGAUUUAUCAAUAUUUUUUAAAUUGAUUUGAUUAUAAUUAAUUUUAAAUUAAGAACUCUAUACUUAUCUUUGUUGACAAAACAACCAAGGGGACUUGAAUUUUCAGACACAAAAUAGUAAUCUUUCAUUUGAAGUUAUUAUUUGUAUAUAUCUCUUUAUUAUACGUUACUAACUUUGUAAAAUAAAUAAAUUAUUAUUAAACUCUCUACUUUUUAAAUAAGUGAUUUUUUUUAAAUGUUUCAAAAAUAUAUAUUUAAAGUUUAACUAAAUCGGUCCAAUACAUGUUAUCAUUAUAAAAGAUAAUCUGAUAAAUAAUAUAUUUUGAUAUAUUAUAUUUUUAGAUUAUAACUCUUUCCAUCAAAAUUUAUGUUAACAUAGGUGCAUGAAGAAUAACAUAAGUAAUGAUUGGAUUUGUAUUUUUUUCAUGAUUAAUUUGUUAUUAACUUUUUUUUCAAAAUGUUAUUAUAAAUAUUUUAUACUAAAUUCAAUUCAUAUAUAAUUUUAUAGGAUAAUUUUUUUUUUAUAGUGGACCAAGUAGAAAAUUUUACCAUUUCAAAAACUUUAAAUAUUAAAUGUGAAUUUAAUUUUUUUAUUCUGAAAUGUGGAAAAAAUGUAAGCAUUCAUUACCCUUACUCCAAUGGGUUUAAAAUCAAUCACAGAGAGAUUUGAAAUAGAAAACGCGAUUCCUAUUGCAGAAGUGCUUCCCAGCUUUCUCUUCGAACCACUCAGAUUUCUGAAACCAAAACGCUAUUCCAAUUCAAAUCAAAAUCGCAUUUUUCAAUUCCUCUUCGCAACUCCCAUGACGUAUUCACGUUCCGCGCGGGAAUGAACGCUCCCGCAUUCUCUGAAACCCUCGAAGAGCGUUGGUAACCACAAUUCAAAGCCAUUUAAGGUUUCGGUGCACUAGAAAACACCAUAGACCAUGGACGGUGGCGAAGAUCCUUCAGCAUUGGCUUGGGUUUGGGUCAUUGAAGCUCUAUCAGCCUGUAAAGCAAUCUCGACUCCCAUGUUGCAGGGUAAAAAGGACCAUACACGUUUCUUUUCCUUUUAAUUUCGUUUUUGGUGAAAAAUUUCAUGAUUAAUGCAGUUGUUGUUGAUGAUGAUGUAGGUUUGAUUGAUUCAGCACCUGUCGGGAUGGAUAAAUUUGGCGAAAUUACAAAGGAGAUAGUUUCUUUGAGGUGUUUGGAGGAACUGCCCAGUAGUGUGGUUGAACGUGUAGCUUCUUCUACAUCGGAUUCCAGAGCUAGAUUUGACAUUUCGCGGGGUUGUCAAGAUGUCCUCCAGGAAAUAUUGAAUGAGGUAAAACAAUUUCAAAUUUUAAGUGUGUUUGAUAUGAUCAUAUCACAGUAGGAAGUGUUAGAAUUGAGUUAGCCAUGGUUUGAUUUUAAUAUAGACAAGGUUGUUUAGUUAUUGUUGGGUAAAAUUGAUUUUGCAUCUAAAUCUUGGUUUGACUAGGACUAAUUAAAAGUAAAUUGAUUUGAGGUGAAAAGUCUACGCUUAAGUUAUACUUGAAACUUGCUUUUGAGAUAAAAAUAUACAAGCAUAAAUUACUUAGCUUCAAAGUUAAUAUUAACCCAAAUCAAUUUUGUAAAUGUUCACCCAAAUACACACUAAAUCUCCUUCGAUAUGUAAAUGGCAUAGUUUACUUUCCCUGUAUAAUGUUGGAAGCUAUUUGAACUAAUUUGAAUACUCAUAUUGUGUUUCAGUUUGUUUUGGAAAAUGUUUCUUCUUUUCAUUUACUGUGUUCAUAUAAACAAUUACAUCACUGGCACUUCAUUUUUACUUUAUUUCUUGUUUAAAGAUUUUAUACUGGAAAUAAUCAAAACGUGAUUUUUGUUGUUUCCAGACUCUAGUAUUUUAUUUUAUUUUAUUUGAAGAUGGAUCUUUAUGAUUAUGCUAAUAAAUCUCCCUCUAUUCUUUAUGUAACGUAUAAAGCAGACCCCAUUAUCAAAUCUGAAAAUGACUGGAGCAGAGCUUUUGAAAUCAGAUGUUUACCCGUUUAUAAAUCACAAAAGAGCUGGCAAUUUGAAAUGUCACUUAGAGCAGGUAAUGGAAGUGUCCUUUGAGAACUCUCCUGUAUGAGAUUUGUACAUUUUCAUCCCAUUUUUGUAUGAUCUGUUUCUUUUCCUAAUCCUGAAUAGCUGAGACAAACAAUCUUGGAAGGUACUCAUCCUCAUACUGAUUACUUGAAAGAAAGGAGUGGAUUAUUUCCUCGGAAUAAUGGUUAUUCGGUGAUUGUAAAUGAUGUCAAACGUGAUGAUCAUUCAGCUAAGGAAGUUGGGAACUCCACCAAUACUGAAAAUAUGGUAGGAAAUGAUAUCUCAGUGUCCUUAACUUUAGAGAAUGGGAAUAAAACUUCCAAAGAACACUUGCUUGAUAAUAAUUCUUCACCCUCCACGAGGAGUAGGGUUUACUCAGCUGAUGAUUAUCUUACAGAACACUUUGAUAGAAAGCAAGUCUGUCUAAAUGAAUGUGAUGAUUUCUGUAGAACUUCAAAGAGGGUUAAAUUUUCUGCAUCUACAAGUUUUGAGUCUAAGAAAGAGAAGCCAGUUUCUCAACUCAAACAGGAAGUGUCAGAACAUUUAACUGAAAGAAUUCUUCUAGUUUCUGAACGAGGAGAUCAUCAUGUAGAAAAUAAUAACAAAGAAACUCUGGGUGGUGGGUCCUCAGAGGAUAUUCCCAAUAAAUGCACUGUUUCAAAAUUGUGCCAACCUAGCAGCCAUAUUGAAGUUCCCCGUGAUGAAUCAAAUACUCCUUUUAAUGAUGCUUUGAUGCUUCAACCUACAUUUGGUGCUGAAAAUUCUAAGCAACUGCAGGUCGAGUCAAUUCCACAUGUUUCACUCGCAGAUGGAAUCCUGCUUGAGAUUUCCGGAAGUAAACAUAGGUCUAAACAUGAAAAAGAUUUACAACUCAAAGAUCCAAAUGACUCACAGCAGCAAAUUGCUGGUGUUAAAGCUCCAGAUCAUACUGGGAAUGGUUGUGGGGUAGAGAAAUCAGGUGAUAUUGUGUAUCAAGGUGAAAAAAUUAGCCUUGAAAUGGAAAAGCAGGCAGAACAAAAUCUGUGUUUGAAGUGUAAUGAAAGUGAUCAAUUACCAAUUUCUGAUGUAAAUGUCAUCCAAUCAGUGGUUACUGAAUGUUGUCUUGGUAUGACAACUACCCUUCCAACAAAUGAUGCUAAGGCAGAAAAAAAUCAGCAAAUAAUUAAUCUACAGCAACCCAAACAGACAGAACCAGAUAUCGCAGCUUUAAAUCUCUCCCAGGAGCCAGUUGUUUGUGAUAAAACUAUAGUUGGUGCAGUUAUUGGUUGUGAAGCUGAGCAAUCAAGUGAUAGUGAUGGAUAUCACAACGAAAAAAAAUGUCUUGAAGCAAAAAAGCAUGAAUUCCUGCGCUCCCACUUCACAGUUGAUCAAGAUUUCUCAGCAAUGAAUGAACUAAAUAAACAAAAUCUUUGCAUGAAGUGUAAUCAAGGUGGCCAAUUACUGGCUUGUAAAACAACUACUUGUCCAUUGAUGGUGCAUGAAGACUGUCUAGGUUCAUCUGUACAGUUGGAUGCAGAGGGCAACUUUUUUUGCCCAUUUUGUGCAUAUUCUCGCACUAUUUCAGAAUAUGUUGAAGCUAAGGAAAAAGCUUCCUUGGCAAGGAAGGACUUAACCAUCUUUAUUAGUAAAGGUAAAAUGAGUCAAGCUGCUGACAAUCUUCUUUAUGAAUUUCGUACGCAAGAACAUUGUUUUUCAAGAAAGAGUAGUGAGUGUGAACAUAUUCAUGUAAAAAACAACAAAGAUGAUCAGUUGACAAGGUGUGAAGACAAUAGAGAAGAUCAUGUUGGUGAGCAUGCAAAUGAAGCCAAUAAUCUUCAGUUUGGAAGAAGUGAGCAACAAAAUUCAUCAUGCAGAGAAAAGGAAAAUGUAAGCAAUGGAUCAGUUGAAAUUUUAAGAGAAGAGAAAAUUGGUGAAAUGCGAAAUGCAAAGAACAUAACUGGUGUAAGAGUUGAAGAAAAUGAAGUGCCAACUGACCAUGUAGAUGGACAUGAUGUUGACACAUGUACUGGUGAAAAAACAAAUAAUGCCCUUGUUAAUAAAAGCAAUGCUGGAUAUGAAACUCCACAAGAAAUGACAAAACAGCAAGCUAUUGAUGGAGCAACAGAGCCAGUUUGUGCACAUAAUACUGGAAAAGAGGAAAUGUCUGAAAUUGAAUGUGAUAAACAUAGUACUUCUAGUUCUAGAUACUCCAUGAGAUACCGUAAACAUGAAAUGCAAUGGUAAGUUCUUAAACUUUCCCUACCAUAUGUGAUUAUUAAUAUCUGAGUAGUUGGGCUGCUAAGGAGUUCUACCAUAUUUGGUGAAGGGAGUUUUAAAUACUUUUGGCAACAAUAUUUUCUUAAGGAUGCAUUUUCUUUUGUUUCUUAUGCCAUGAAUAUUUUGUGUGAUGUUGUGGAGUCAGUUACAUGGAUCAAAAGAUGGCAAUGUAUUUUUUCAAAACCAAUGGUUUAACUCAACAUCUACAAUUUUUGGGCUAUCUUCAAUUAGAUCAGCUCUCUUAACUAGUGUUGUCAUUGGUCGUUUUUACAUGUGUCUAAACUAUCUUAGUCUCCACACAGUUUUACCAUCUUUUCCUGGUAGGUAUCAUUUUAUUAGAGUAGUUUUACUCUCUUUUUUCGUAUGUUCUUUCUACAGCUGUAGUCCUGUAGAACUCUAUAAUGAUGCAAUAUCUAUCUAGUGAGUUGAGUGCUUAAGCUCUAACUGAUCUAGUGUAUAAAAACUUCUUGUAUCUCUGAUUCAGUUGGGUUCAACAAUAUUUUUCACUUGAGUAGAAAUACUUCUUUCAACUAUUCUCUAAUUCUAUUACACUUCAACUUUCUCUCUAAUAUCCACUCUCAAUCAUAUCUUGUAUGAACACUCUUCCAACUUACGACUUGGAUCUUAUGCUCUUGUUGGCCCUUGUUGCGACACAUUCAGUACUAAAAACAUUAAAGUCUUAGAAAUGGGGUUUAGACCUAACUCAAUCCUUCAAAACCAACCUAUAAGAUGAGGUUUGUACUUAUAUACUUUGUUUUAGCCAUAUCACUAGUUAAUGAGACUAAAUUACACUCCCCCUCAACCCCACAAAAUUGAUGUGUAAGAUAAGGUUUACAUCUCGGUUAUAUACUUCAUUUCAAUCGUAUCAUAGUCAAUAUGGAACUAAAUACCAUCCAUGAGGUUGCAGGAAAGGCUGUUUUCAAACAUAAAUAGCCACUGGAUUUGUGGCUGUAGUAAAGUUUCCUUUAAGCUUAAGAGAGACCUUUCUAUGACAAAUAACAUCUGAUGCAUUCUUUAAUUUCUUUCAUCCAGCUUGAAUGAUUUAUAUCUCACUCUAUUUCUCCAUUUCCUUUUACAAAAUCAUGAUAGAUCAUGGAUAUCUAUACUUGUGGUAUGGUAUGAUCUCUAAUUUUCACCUCCUUCCCAGUGCUAGUGGGUGUUUAGAAUCUUCUGAGUGUCAAAUUCAACUUUGACAAACAGAACUAAUAAUAUCCUUACGAGAACAAGUAUGAUGUAACAAGAUUUGCAUUGAUAUACAUUAACAAAAGCCAAAAUGAAAAACCUUACCUUCAUUCUGUUCUGCAAUCUCAAAUCAAUUUUCUUGAAAACUUCGUCAUUUUCCCAAAAUAGAUCCCAUCUCAAAUUCUCAGAAAUCCUGAAAACCCCAGAACUAAUAAUCUCUCCCUUCCAAUGCUUCAACUCCAUUAUUGGUUGAUGGUAUACUGAAUGAUUUGAUGGGGUGCCAAGUGGAACUAUUCCUCAAUUUCUAACAAUUUAGAACUGUUCCCAUGACAGAAUGGGAAUGAUCUCGUCCCCCUUUCUCUAGUGGAAAUGAUUGUGGGAGUCCUAAUUUAUAAAAUAUCUCUGUGAAUAAGUCUUUCACUGGUAAUUUUUCAUAUCUUAUACUAAAUUUGCGAAUGCGUCAUCCCACUGUAAGAUUUUGGGGAUGCAAAAAUAAAUCAUGGACCAAAUGCUGCCUUAUAGUAAUAAUUACGUUUGAAGGACUGAUACUGUUGUAGUCAUUCUAAUUUAAUUGGUUAUUUGACUGACAGCAAACCCCAGGCACGCCCAGUAUUUCAGGGUAAUCAAUUAAGACGAAAAAAAAUUCCGUGGACAGCUGAGGAGGAAGACAUGUUAAGGGUAUCAUUUUUCUUUCUUCCAUACUUCUUCUAAGUAGUAUGAUUUCACACCUUAUAAGUAGCUAAUUACAUUAUGUUUCUGUGUAAACAACACUCCUGGGACAUGUAUUUCUUUUGCUUCCACAUCAAUUCAUUGUUUAAGAACAAUCUCAUACUAUGAUAGAAAGUUAAAGGAUGUGGACCCUCCU